UACGAGUGCCCUAAGCGUUAUCCGGAAUCAUUGGGCGUAAAGGGUGUGUAGGUGGUAGUGUUAGUCUUCUGUUAAAUUCUUCGGCUUAACCGGGGGCAUGCAGGGGAAACGGCACAACUAGAGGAUGCGAGAGGAACAUGGAACUCAUGGAGUAGGGGUGAAAUCCGUUGAUAUCAUGGGGAACACCGAAAGCGAAGGCAAUGUUCUGGCGCACUCCUGACACUGAAACACGAAAGCGUAGGUAGCGAAUGGG
rnacentral:rRNA from 1 species